rnacentral:lncRNA from 1 species
ACAAUUAUAAUACUGGUACCUUUGAUAACUAUUAUAGCAAUUCAAAAUAAACAGUUCCUCUUCAGCAUGGAAAUGACUAUAAUAUAACUAUACAAACUGAUAAACUAAUUUUGUCACAACAUCAUUUAAGUGGAGUUAGUCUUAUAGGAUUUUGACUGAACAAUUUGUUCAAUAUUCUGACCAGUUGAACAAUUUGGUUUAAUAAAACAAAUUGCAAUUUGGUCAAAAUUUUGAAUGAGUUGCAAUUUGUGGAGAGCAACACUAACAGUCAAGUCAUUGUAAAGAGUUAUAACAGCUAGAGUUCUUGAAAUCAAAGGUCUAUAGUAGGGGGGUUCAACAUACCAUGAGAGGGGGUCAAAAUACCAUGGCACAGUAAAAUUUUCAAAAUAGCUUUUAAAGGCUGUAGAUUUUCUAUAAAAAUCUUGGUUUAUUUGCAAAAAGUACCCUUUUUCUAUUAAACCCUCUUUUUCUAUUAAACGCAAUAAAACAGUAAAUAAUAAUGCUUUGCAUCAAGUUUCCCCCUGGUAUAUGUACAAAACCGCACAUCUCUAUUAUUCAUUAUAUCUGUAGUUUUAUUGGAGUAUUAUCAAUGUUAAGGAUUAAGUAUAGCUAGAAUUUUUGAAAUGAGAGUUCUAAAGUUGGGGAUUCAAUAUAUCACAAAAGGGGAGGGGGUAAAACUACCAUGGCUAAGUAAAAUUUUCAAAACAUCUUUUCAAGCAAGUAAAAUGCAUACAAACUACUUAUUGGAAUACAAUUACUAUGUUAAAUAGUUAUAACAGCUAGAUUUUUUGAAAUCCAAGGUCUAUAGUAGUUCAAUAUACCAUGGUAAAUGUCAAAAUACAAUGGUAAAGUAUAAUUUUCAAAAUAUCUUUUCCAUCAUGUUAAAUACAUACAAACUACUUAUUGGAGUAUUAUCACUAUGUUAUACUUAUUGGAGUAUUUUUACUAUGUUAAAGAGUUAGAAUAGCUAGAAUUUUUGAAAUGAGAGGUCUAUAGUAGGGGGUUCAAUAUACCGCAGGGGGUCAAAAUACCAUGGCAAAGUAAAAUUUUCAAAACAUCUUUUCAAGCAAGUAAAAUACAUACAAACUACAUAUUGGAAUAUAAUUACUAUGUUAAAGAGUUAUUACUAUGUUAAAGAGUUAUCUACAGAAUUUGGAUUUCAAAUAAUCUAGCUGUUAUAACUCUUUAACAUAGUAAGUAUAUUCCAAUAACAGCUAGAUUAUUUGAAAUCCAAAUUCUAUAGUAGGGGGUUCAAAAUACCAUGGUAGGGGGUCAAUAUACAAUGGCAAAGUAAAAUUUUCAAAACAUCUUUUUCAUCAUGUUAACUACAUACAACCUACUUAUUGGAGUAUUAUUUCUAUGUUAAGGAUUUAGUAUAGCUAGAAUUUUUGAAAUGAGAGGUCUAUAGUAGGGGUUAAAUAUACCCCAGGGGGUCAAAAUACCAUGGCUAAGUAAAAUUUUCAAAACAUCUUUUCAAGCAAGUAAAAUACAUACAAACUGCUUAUUGGAAUAUAAUUACUAUGUUCAAGAGUUAUAACGGCUAGAUUUUUUAAAAUGAGAGGUCUAUAGUGGGGGGUUCAAUAUACCGCAUUGGCGGGGAUCAAAAUACCAUGGCUAAGUAAAAUUUUCAAAACAUCUUUUCCAUCAGGUUAAAUACAUACAAACUACUAAUUUGAGUAUUAUUACUAUGUUAAGGAGUUAAUAUAGCUAGAAUUUUUGAAAUCCAAAUUCUAUAUUAGGAAGUUCAAAAUACCGCAAAAGGGGGGGGGGGGUCAAUAUACUGCAGGGGGGUCAAAAUAUCUUGGCUAAGAUAAUUUGCAAAACAUCUUUUCAAGCAAGUAAAAUACAUACAAACUACUUAUUGGAAUAUAAUUACUAUGUAAAAAAGUUAUAACAGCUAAAUUUUUUGAAAUUCAAGGUCUAUAGUAGGGGGUUCAAUAUACCAUGGUAGGGGGUCAAAAUACAAUGGCAAAGUAAAAUUUUCAAAAUAUCUUUUCCAUCAUUUUAAAUACAUACAAACUACUUAUUGGAGUAUUGUUACUAUGUAAAGGAGUUAGGACAGCUAGAAUUUUUUAAAUGAGAGGUCUAUAAUAAGAGGUUCAAUAUACUGCAGGGGUGCAUUUAGGUGGUUUUGUUGUAUUCAGGAUAAUGUAUACAUAGUAAUUGUAUGAUGUUCAAUUAUAUAUGCAUAGUAAUAAUAAUGAUUUAUUGAAUUUGUUAUUAUUUAUAAUAUAACCCAGGCAAACUAAGAUUAUGCGAGUUGUUCAUAUUUGGCUCGAGUGUGUUAUUAAAACCAUCUUUUUGAUUUUUUGAUAAGCAGUGGAAAAGUAUAUUUUGUUUGUGGUGUAGAUUAAAUAACUUGAGCUUAAAUCGAAAAAAUGCAAAAGUUCAUAAGUGGGCUGAUAGAAUGUGUAUUAAGGAUAACAGCUGGAACUUUUUAGUAAGUAACUCCUUUUCUGGAUUGAAUUUAAGUCAAAUACAUGAGAAAAAAAAACAUUUUCAUUAUGUUGCUGACAUUUUUGAUGUACAUUUUUAUACUUUAGAUGAUAUUCAGAUAACCAAAAGUCAGUGUUUUUAUUCUCAUAUGUAAAUAUGAUACAUGUUUGUUCCGAAAUUUGUUGUUUGAUUUUAAAAAGGUUUAAAAAUUUUAUAUGUAGUAAAUUUAUUGAUUGUGAUUAUUAUUAUACAACCAAGGCAACUAAGAUUAUGUGAGUUGUUCAUAUUUGGUCGAGCCUUUUUGAGCAGGAAAAGUAUAUUUUGUGUUGUAUAGAUUAAAUAACUGAGCUUAAAUCGAAAAAAUGCAAAGUUUAUAAGUGGCUGAUAGAAUGCAUAUUAAGCAUAACUGUUAAAAGAUGGAACUUUUUAGUAAGUAACUUCUUUUCUGGACUGAAUUUAAGUCAAAUACAUGAAAAUAUUUUUUUAUUAUGUUGCUGACAUUUUUAAUGUACAUUUAAUACUUUAGAUGAUAUUCAGAUAACCAAAGGAUAGUGCUUUUAUUCUCAUAUGAUACAUGUGUGUUCCGAAACCUGUUGUUUGAUUUUAAAAAGGUUUAAAAAUUUUAUAUAUUGUAGUAAAUAGUAUCAUUCACAUUGUUUAUUUAGAAUAUAUAAUAAAGAAUGCUAAUAAAGAGUUUACAUUGCUUGCCUGCAAACUUUGUUUGGUUGUUUUCUCAGACAUUGUUAUUAAGAUUGACACCUAAUUUCAAUGAAUAGGUACAGUAUUUAAAAAUGGUAUACAUGGAUAAUAUAUAUACAUUUUAUACAUCGACAAACAUGGUAACUUUUGCUUAGAAUAGCACACAGGGCUAAAAUCAGGUUUUCGUC